rnacentral:tRNA from 1 species
GGCCUCGUAGCUCAUUUGGCAAGAGCGUUGGCUAUACUAAUGCCUUUCCCUUGCUGGCGUGGGUUUGAAUCCCACCGAGGCCA